GUGGGGAAUAUUGGACAAUGGGGGCAACCCUGAUCCAGCCAUGCCGCGUGAGUGAAGAAGGCCUUCGGGUUGUAAAGCUCUUUGAGCGGGGAGGAAGGUUCGGUACUUAAUACGUAUCGGAAUUGACGUUACCUGCAGAACAAGCACCGGCUAACUCUGUGCCAGCAGCCGCGGUAAUACAGAGGGUGCAAGCGUUAAUCGGAAUUACUGGGCGUAAAGCGUGCGUAGGCGGUUUGAUAAGCUGGAUGUGAAAUCCCCGGGCUUAACCUGGGAACUGCAUUCAGGACUGUUUGACUAGAGUCUGGGAGAGGGUGGUGGAAUUUCCUGUGUAGCGGUGAAAUGCGUAGAUAUAGGAAGGAACAUCAGUGGCGAAGGCGACUGCCUGGCCCAAGACUGACGCUGAGGCACGAAAGCGUGGGUAGCAAACAGGAUUAGAAACCCGAGUAGUCC
rnacentral:rRNA from 1 species